rnacentral:ncRNA from 2 species
GACGGAGGGUGCUAGCGUUGUUCGGAAUUACUGGGCGUAAAGGGCGCGUAGGCGGCCGCUUGCGUCGGAUGUGAAAGCCCGGGGCUCAACCCCGGAACGGCAUCCGAUACGGGGCGGCUGGAGACCGGGAGAGGAGGGUGGAAUAGCCAGUGUAGAGGUGAAAUUCGUAGAUAUUGGCUGGAACACCGGUGGCGAAAGCGGCUCUCUGGCCCGGUUCUGACGCUGAGGCGCGAAAGCGUGGGGAGCAAACAGG